rnacentral:tRNA from 1 species
GGGAAUGUGGCUCAGUGAUGGAGUGCUUGCCUAGCAUGCAUGAAGCCCUAGGUUCGAUUCCUCACAUACACA